rnacentral:sRNA from 1 species
CAGAGAUGCCCUUCGUGAUGGGCCACGAUCGUUCCUUCGACAAGACCGAUCAUCCCAACACGCAAGGGCAUUCUCGCGUCACGACCCGCUCACCACACCCCACCCAUCGGUGGAUCCGG